UCACACACGCAGGUACACACUAAACAUGAUAGGCAAAAUAUGACAUUCAGUUAACCCACAAGAGUCAAUGUAGCUCAAAAGACUUGUUGUGUACAUGUCCGUAAAGAAUGUCAAUGUCAUUUCUCUCAGUCUGAUCUGAGUAUGUUUGACUGGACGGUGAAUUUAAAUAAGAACGGCUGCUGCUUACAGUGAAGAAAAUGACUGGUCCUCAGAUGAGUGUAAUGUAGUCCUAUUCACUCUGAAGUUACCUUGUCAUCAAAGCAACAGAGCGAGAGAGAGAGAGAGGCAGACGACAUAAGAGAGUCUUAAAGAUUGUUUUGGAACCUAAUAUCACCGUUUUUGAUGAAAGAGAGACAGACGACGGACAAACGGCAGUGGAAAGAAAGGGGGAGGAAGAGGGGCAAGUGUAGGGUUUUAAGCGGCACAGUGGUUCAGAGUGAACUAGGGGGGUCGUCAUAGAGAGAAAGAGAGAUAGGAGUCUUUUGAAAUGGCAGUUUCCCUUAUGACUCAUCUUUUGAAUAAUACUCUGACACACUGUGAUCCCCAGUUCAGUCACACAGUCAGAGGGUCCAGAGUCACAUCUAUCUCAUUCUCUCAUCCUCUCUGAAACACGAUGCAUCUCUUCUGGUGGAUCACCCACAUCUUUCUAUCCCUCCCUUCUCUCCUCUCUCUUGUCCAAUCCCUCACGUGCGACGAGGAGAGACAGUAUGYUUGGCCACUGCCUGUAAGCAAAUGGUGCUGCAACAAGUGUCCACCAGGUCAGCAUAUGGUGGGACGCUGCACCGGUCAGAACAGCCCUACCCAGUGUGCUGACUGCACCAGCGGCUACUACUCAGACAGCUACAACUUCGACGGAAGCUGC